CGUGCCAGCAGCCGCGGUAAUACGGGAGGGGCGAGCGUUAUUCGGAAUAACUGGGCGUAAAGGGUUCGUAGACGGUACUAUAAGUUAAUUAAAAAAGAUUAAAGCUUAACUUUAAUUAAUCCUAAUUAAAACUAUUUUACUAGAGUUUUGUGCAGAAGAGUAGAAUUUCAUAAGUAGAGGUGGCAUUUGUAGAUCUAUGAAGGAAUAUCAGAAGCGAAGGCGACUCUUUAGCAAUAACUGACGUUGAGGAACGAAAGCGUAGGUAGCAAACAGGAUUAGAUACCCUGGUAGUCUACGCCGUAAACACUGAAUGCUAAAAUUCUAAAACUUAUUUUGGGAUUUUAAAGUUAACACGUUAAGCAUUCCGCCUGAGGAGUAUAAUCGCAAGGUUGGAACUCAAAGGAAUUGACGGGGGCCUAUACAAGUGGUGGAGCAUGUGGUUUAAUGCGAUAAUACGCGCGAAACCUUACCAGUUUUUGAUUAUUAGUUUUUAAUUUUAUACAGUUUAAGAGCAUAAUAAUUUUUUGCAAUUUUUAAACUAUAAUUUUAGUGUUAUUUAAUUUCUAAUACAGGUGUUGCACGACUGUCGUCAGCUCGUGUCGUGAGAAG
rnacentral:rRNA from 1 species